rnacentral:sRNA from 1 species
ACAUGACUUGUUUAUGUAUUUUGACGACGCAAGGCCAGGUGUAGAUAGAAUACAUCCAGCUGCACGGUGUAAGGACUACAUCUACUGUACUAGUCCUUCUUGUAACUCGCGCAUACAGAAAAUGGGAAAAGUAAGGGUGCAUGUGGAGUAUUGUGGUGGGUGAGGUUAUGAACCUCGGUUCCUGGAAUUGCGCAGCAACAUCCUGAAGCACAUUUCAGAAUCCGAGGUUGAGAUUAUCGGCCAAGUUGGGCGUAGCACCUCUUUUGAGAUUAAAAUCAACAAUGAGCUGGUUUUCUCAAAGCUUAAACUUGGAGGGUUCCCUAAAGCUGAAGAUGUUAUUGAUAGCAUCCGUGCAGCUCAGAAAGGAGAAGCUAAACUUAUAACAGAGUCACAUUCACCUGGAUGCAGUAUUUUAUAAAAAUAUUCUGAACUUGGGCCUUUAAUGUAACCUCCAUGUAAUCUGCUCUUACAAAUGUGCAAGAAACAAAAGCUUAAAUUAAAAAACAAAAAUUAAUAUUAGUAUGAUAACGUUUAUCUUUAAAAACUUUAUUUUGAUAUUUUUAUUGCAACCUUUUUAUAGCUACUGGCAAGACCAGAUCUUUUGAUCCAGAUGUAUCCAUCAUUAUGAAAUCUAACAACAAAAUGUAGGUAUAUGCAGUAAAGCUGUGUAAUCAAACAAAAAAAGAACAAAAAAAAAUGUGUUAGCAUUAAGAAGGAUAAACAUAAUAACUUGUGCUAAAGCUAAUUACAAUCUUAAUAGGUAGGUUGUACCUAAAUCCCAAUUUAUCAUUGAAACCACUCACUAAAAAUGUUCAGCAUAUGAUUGUUUCUUGAAACUAAGCUAAAAAAAUUCAAACUUAUUUAUUGACCCUUGUCCCAUUUCUUCCACAUAACAUUCUGAUUGAUAACUGAGCAUUUUUUUCUUUAUGAUUAAUUGAUCAAUUUAAAAUAUAUGGUGCAACUACAGUGUUUUAAUGAGGAAAAUUUUAUUUUUUUAAAAUCGUUUUAAGGCAUUCUUUUUUUUUUAAGUUUUCUGAACAUUUCUGUUCUUACUAAAAAAAAAUUAAAUAUAUAGUUCUCCUUGUACAGUCUGGUUACAUUUGGCAGUAGUUGAGAUGUUUUAAAAAGAGGUUUGCACUCUCUUUUCUUGCUGAGACUUUUAUGUGUUAUUUAUUGUGUUGCUGUAUCAUUGACUAUUACUUUUCUACAAACAUUGCAGGGGAGAUUUACAAAGUAGAAACUUCUGUGAUAUUGCAUUGAUCUCCACUUAAUCUAUUCUGUCAGACUUUCAUGACAAUCUAAACUAAACUUAUCGGGUUUAGGUUUGAAUCCUUUGUCUGCCAAUAGAUAAAGUGCAGAUUGUAAAAAUGUCACAGUUUGUGGUGAUACCAAUGUGUCUUGUGCUAAAUUUUACUAGUUUGUAUUUCCUGUUUACCUGUAUUCAAAUUUAUUUGUAUAAGGAUCUCAUUGUUAAGUUUGUUAAUUUAUUUUUAUAACAAGU